rnacentral:rRNA from 1 species
CCUACGGGUGGCAGCAGUAGGGAAUCGUUCACAAUGGGCGAAAGCCUGAUGGAGCAACGCCGCGUGCAGGAUGACUGCCCUACGGGUUGUAAACUUCUAUUAUAAAGGAAUAAAGUGAGGCACGUGUGCCUUUUUGUAUGUACGUUAUGAAUAAGGAUCGGCUAACUCCGUGCCAGCAGCCGCGGUAAGACGGAGGAUCCGAGCGUUAUCCGGAUUUAGUGGGGUUAAAGGGAGCGUAGAUGGGUUUUUAAGUCAGUUGUGAAAGUUUGCGGCUCAACCGUCAAAUUUCAAUUGAUACUGGCAGUCUUGCGUACAGUUGAUGUCGGCUGAUUUCGUGGUGUAGCGG